AUGGUUGCUCGAGGGACCAUGUUAAGACGCCUUCACGCCGUAUUGCUGUGGUUGGCUUCAAUGUCGGACAAGCCGUGUGAGGCGGGGGGCGCUGCUUGUUCUCUCUGGGACUCUGUUUCCCUGACUGACGAAUGUGAGAAUUGGACUAGACAAUCUCCAGUUUUCUCCCAGUCAUGGCCUGUUGUGCUGCCUGGACAGACGUCACAGCUCUGGCUGGGUCCUAACAGAGUUGCAAUGAGGAUUCCUAGACCAUUUUUCUUCUUGUAACCACUUGAUCCAGGUUUUCAUGGAUUGAAGUUAACUCUUGCUCCAGCCCAGAAGAUAAAAGCAGGUGAAUCUGGGGGCCGGCCUGGUGGCGCAGUGGCUAAGUUCACGCACUCUGCUUUGGCAGCUUGGAGUUCACGGGUUUGGAUCCCGGGCGCUGACCGAGCACUGCUCAUCAAGCCAUGCUAUGGUGGCGUCCCACAUAAAAUAGAGGCAGACCAUCACAGAUGUUAGCUCUUCCUCAAGCAAAAAGAGGAAGAUUGGCGACAGAUGUUAGCUCAUGGUCAAUCUUCCUCACAAAAAAAAGAAAGGAAAAAAAAGCAGGUGAAUCUCAAAAGGGACAACUAGGGGAAAGAGGAAAGGGUCCAACCGCAGGGGCCCGGCCCUGUGCUGGCUACUGCCCCCAACAUUGUCGCAUCUGCUGGCACAUAGUACAUAAGCAGAGGCUCUAGGUUCCCACUGCCUGGCCUCAAACUCUGGCUCAGUACUAAGUAUCUGCGCAGUGCUGGGCAAGUUAUCUAACCACUCUGCACCUCAGUCUCCUGAUCUGUAAAACGGGGAUAAGAGCACUCUCAUCAUGGAGUCAGUGUCAGAAGCUAAGUGUGUUUGAACAUAAGAGGAUGUAGAAAAGAAAUUGACACAUCAUAAGUGCCGAAUAACUGUUAGCUAUUAUCACGACUAACCCAUCUCAACCACACAUGCCGCUUACCAACGGAAACUGAGGCUCAGAGAGGUUGACAGCCUGCUUGCACUCAUCUAGCCCGUCAGUGGCAGAGUUGAGAUUCAAACCUAAAUUAAUCUGACUUCAAAGCCAGUAUUCUUCUUUCUACUCCAAAGGGCUUCAGAGAUAAGAGUCUAGAAAAGCUGUCAUCCCCCUCGAUUUUGACUUACAUAGCAUCACGAUGAACGUAAUUAAAGAUACUUGGGACUCACUCUCCCUUUCCCCCACGUGCACCCUUGUGCAGGAAGGCAGCCGAGACCCUGAGACGCCCCUGCCUCCAGC
rnacentral:lncRNA from 1 species